CACGUAGGGCGCAAGCGUUGUCCGGAAUUAUUGGGCGUAAAGAGCUCGUAGGCGGUCUGUUACGUCUGCUGUGAAAACCCGGGGCUUAACCCUGGGCUUGCAGUGGAUACGGGCAGACUAGAGGCAGGUAGGGGAGACUGGAAUUCCUGGUGUAGCGGUGAAAUGCGCAGAUAUCAGGAGGAACACCGAUGGCGAAGGCAGGUCUCUGGGCCACUACUGACGCUGAGAAGCGAAAGCAUGGGGAGCGAACAGG
rnacentral:rRNA from 1 species